AGCGGCGGACGGGUGAGUAACGCGUGGGAACGUGCCCCUUGGUACGGAAUAGCCCCUGGAAACGGGGAGUAAUACCGUAUGAGCUCUACGGAGGAAAGAUUUAUCGCCAAGGGAUCGGCCCGCGUUGGAUUAGGUAGUUGGUGGGGUAAUGGCCUACCAAGCCGACGAUCCAUAGCUGGUUUGAGAGGGUGAUCAGCCACACUGGGACUGAGACACGGCCCAGACUCCUACGGGAGGCAGCAGUGGGGAAUCUUAGACAAUGGGGGCAACCCUGAUCUAGCCAUGCCGCGUGAGUGAUGAAGGCCUUAGGGUUGUAAAGCUCUUUCAGUGGGGAAGAUAAUGACGGUACCCACAGAAGAAGCCCCGGCUAACUCCGUGCCAGCAGCCGCGGUAAUACGGAGGGGGCUAGCGUUGUUCGGAAUUACUGGGCGUAAAGCGCGCGUAGGCGGACUGGAAAGUUGGGGGUGAAAUCCCGGGGCUCAACCCCGGAACUGCCUUCAAAACUAUCAGUCUGGAGUUCGAGAGAGGUGAGUGGAAUUCCGAGUGUAGAGGUGAAAUUCGUAGAUAUUCGGAGGAACACCAGUGGCGAAGGCGGCUCACUGGCUCGAUACUGACGCUGAGGUGCGAAAGCGUGGGGAGCACACAGGAUUAGAUACCCUGGUAGUCCACGCCCGUAAACGAUGAAUGCCAGUCGUCGGCAGGCAUGCCUGUCGGUGACCCCCUAACGGAUUAGCAUCCGCUGGGGAGUCGCCCCAGGUUAAACUCAAAGAUUGACGGGGC
rnacentral:rRNA from 1 species